AACGAGGCCGACCUGCGGCUGAGUUACCUGCGGAGGGAUCAUUACCAGUACCACCGUCGCCUCCGGGCGUCGGUCUACUACCAACCCUUUGUCAUCCGACCUCGUUGCCUCCGGGUGCGACCCUGACCUUCGGGUCUCGCGUCUCCCCGGGUGGACACACAUCAAAACUCUGCAUAACUUUGUAGUCUGAGUAAAACUUUUAAUUAAAUUAAAACUUUCAGCAACGGAUCUCAGAUCGGA
rnacentral:misc_RNA from 1 species